CUCCACGGCACAUUUAAAAUCACAGUGGAGGAGACAAAGGUACAUGAAAAAGACAAACGCAAGGAAACAGUGAUGUUAUACCUGUUAGGGAUUGUCUUUGGCCUAAUUUGCAUCAUCAUGUGCAUGUCAUAUGGUCUUGAUCAGAUUUACAAGAAUGCAUCUUGAUAUUUUUACAUUGGAUGGAAAAGGCCAUUCUAUAAUUGUAGGGAAUUAUAUGGCGACAGUGUCUCUUCCA